UACGGGGGUGGCGAGCGUUACUCGGAUUUAUUGGGUGUAAAGGGCAGGUAGGCGUCCUUUCAAGUUAGAAGUGAAAUCCUUUGGCUCAACCAAAGAACUGCUUCUAAAACUGAAAGGAUUGAGGCCAGAAGAGGAGAGCGGAAUUCCCGGUGUAAGGGUGAAAUCUGUAGAUAUCGGGAGGAACACCAGAGGCGAAGGCGGCUCUCUGGUCUGGCCCUGACGCUAAGCUGCGAAAGCUAGGGGAGCAAACAGGAUUAGAUACCCUGGUAGUCCUAGCCGUAAACUAUGAGCACUAGGUGUAGGGAGUUAGACUUUCUGCGCCGUAAGAUAACUCGUUAAGUGCUCCACCUGGGGACUACGGCCGCAAGGCUAAA
rnacentral:rRNA from 1 species